GACGAACCGUGCGAACGUUAUUCGGAAUCACUGGGCUUAAAGCGCGUGUAGGCGGGAGGGCACGUCCGUUGCUGAAAUCCCCCGGCUCAACCGGGGAACGGGCGCGGAUACGACUCUCCUUGAGGGGCGUAGGGGGACCUGGAACUUCCGGUGGAGCGGUGAAAUGCGUUGAGAUCGGAAGGAACGCCCGUGGCGAAAGCGAGGUCCUGGACGCCUACUGACGCUGAGACGCGAAAGCUAGGGUAGCGAACGGG
rnacentral:rRNA from 1 species